rnacentral:rRNA from 1 species
AUUGAACGCUGGCGGCAGGCCUAACACAUGCAAGUCGAACGGUAACAGGAAGAAGCUUGCUUCUUUGCUGACGAGUGGCGGACGGGUGAGUAAUGUCUGGGAAACUGCCUGAUGGAGGGGGAUAACUACUGGAAACGGUAGCUAAUACCGCAUAACGUCGCAAGACCAAAGAGGGGGACCUUCGGGCCUCUUGCCAUCGGAUGUGCCCAGAUGGGAUUAGCUAGUAGGUGGGGUAACGGCUCACCUAGGCGACGAUCCCUAGCUGGUCUGAGAGGAUGACACGCCACACGGGAACUUAGACACGGUCCAGACUCCUACGGGAGGCAGCAGUGGGGAAUAUUGCACAAAGGGCGCAAGCCUGAUGCAGCCAUGCCGCGUGUAUGAAGAAGGCCUUCGGGUUGUAAAGUACUUUCAGCGGGGAGGAAGGGAGUAAAGUUAAUACCUUUGCUCAUUGACGUUACCCGCAGAAGAAGCACCGGCUAACUCCGUG